AUUGAACGCUGGCGGCAUGCUUUACACAUGCAAGUCGGACGGCAGCACAGAGAAGCUUGCUUCUUGGGUGGCGAGUGGCGAACGGGUGAGUAACAUAUCGGAACGUACCGAGUAAUGGGGGAUAACUAAUCGAAAGAUUAGCUAAUACCGCAUAUUCUCUGAGGAGGAAAGCAGGGGACCUUCGGGCCUUGCGUUAUUCGAGCGGCCGAUAUCUGAUUAGCUAGUUGGUGGGGUAAAGGCCUACCAAGGCGACGAUCAGUAGCGGGUCUGAGAGGAUGAUCCGCCACACUGGGACUGAGACACGGCCCAGACUCCUACGGGAGGCAGCAGUGGGGAAUUUUGGACAAUGGGCGCAAGCCUGAUCCAGCCAUGCCGCGUGUCUGAAGAAGGCCUUCGGGUUGUAAAGGACUUUUGUCAGGGAAGAAAAGGCUGUUGCUAAUAUCGACAGUUGAUGA
rnacentral:rRNA from 1 species